AAUUAACAAGAUGGAGUAAAAUUUAUCCAAAGUUGCGAAUUUGUAUACUUAAUAAAUUAUUUAAAUAAAAUAUGUCCUAAAUUAAAGAUAAAUUUUCCUUGCAACAUCAAAAAUAUAUCAAACAAAAUAUUAAGAAAUGACAUCAUGAUUUCUCAAAAAGUAUUACGUCUAAAAUUCAAGAGAUAUUACUUCAUUUUAACCAAUUAUAAAUUAAAACCCCUCGUAAUUUCAAACCAAUUGUUUUCAUCUGGAGAUAAAGAUUCUAGUAAAGACCCAGGCAAAGAUGCAAUCAAAAUUAUAGGCAAAGAAGGAGGAAACGAUGCAGUCAAAGAUGUAGACAGAGAUGGAAAUAAAGAUGUAGGAAGAGAUGCUGGUAAAGAUAAAGGAAGAGAUGCAGGCAAAUUGGAUUGCAAAUGUGAUGAUAAAGUCAAAGGGGUCAGCAGGUCACCGCUUGCACCAGUGGCUACUAGUGCAAGCUGCUCAGCUUCAUCUUCUUCCAGCUCAACACCUACUGCUUCUACUGGGCCUUCUUUAUAUGACUGUCGGAAAUUCAGCCAUAACCUUCCUAGCUGCGAUGUGAAGCAAUGUUUCGAAACAUUGGAAUCAAUUCCAUCUGGCGUAUUCAGACCCACAGACAGUGAGAUGCUGGGUCCGUGCGCUGGCAAACAAUGCUGUUAUAAAAAUCCAG